rnacentral:rRNA from 1 species
UACAGAGGGUGCGAGCGUUAAUCGGAAUUACUGGGCGUAAAGCGUGCGUAGACGGCUAUCUAAGUCGCGUGUGAAAGCCCCCGGCUCAACUGGGGAGGGUCACGCGAUACUGAUCGACUCGAAGGCAGGAGAGGGAAGUGGAAUUCCCGGUGUAGUGGUGAAAUGCGUAGAUAUCGGGAGGAACACCAGUGGCGAAGGCGACUUCCUGGCCUGUUCUUGACGCUGAGGCGCGAAAGCUAGGGGAGCAAACGGG